GGUGAAGAACGUAGCGAAAUGCGAUACGUAAUGUGAAUUGCAGAAUUCAGUGAAUCAUCGAAUCUUUGAACGCAUAUUGCGCUCUCUGGUAUUCCGGAGAGCAUGCUUGUUUGAGUAUCAGUAAACACCUCACCUCCCUUUUCUUUUUUGAAAUUGGAGCUGGACUUGAGUGAUCCCAACGCUUUCUUCCAAGAAAGUGGCGGGUUGCUUGAAAUGCAGGUGCAGCUGAACUUUUCUCUGAGCUAUAAGCAUAUCUAUUUAGUCUGCCUAAAAAACAGAUUAUUACCUUUGCUGCAGCUAACAUAACGGAGACUAGUUCUUGUGCUGACUGAUGCAGGAUUCACAGAGACAGCUUCGGCUGACUUUGUAAACUCGAUCUCAAAUCAAGUAAGACUACCCGCUGAACUUAAGCAUAUCAAUAAGCGGAGGA
rnacentral:misc_RNA from 1 species